rnacentral:rRNA from 1 species
UGAGGAAUAUUGGACAAUGGGCGCAAGCCUGAUCCAGCCAUGCCGCGUGCAGGAAGACGGCCCUAUGGGUUGUAAACUGCUUUUAUACAGGAAGAAACACCUCUACGUGUAGAGGCUUGACGGUACUGUAAGAAUAAGGAUCGGCUAACUCCGUGCCAGCAGCCGCGGUAAUACGGAGGAUCCAAGCGUUAUCCGGAAUCAUUGGGUUUAAAGGGUCCGUAGGUGGACGAUUAAGUCAGAGGUGAAAUCCUGCAGCUCAACUGUAGAAUUGCCUUUGAUACUGGUUGUCUUGAAUCAUUGUGAAGUGGUUAGAAUAUGUGGUGUAGCGGUGAAAUGCAUAGAUAUCACAUAGAAUACCGAUUGCGAAGGCAGAUCACUAACAAUGUAUUGACACUGAUGGACGAAAGCGUGGGGAGCGAACAGG